AGUGUUCAGUUAGAUCAUUGAUAAAUAUUAGAAAAAGCAGAGGCCCGAAGACGGCACCAAUUCCCCGUCCCAGCACCGAAUCCCCCGUCCUUGCAGGCGGUCGGGAAAUGUGGUGUAUGGGAGGCAACGUUCUCGGGUGUUUGCGACUGUGCAAGUCCCCCUGACAGGGGCUUGUCCCAGAGUGGGUGCCAGGCCCGUCUCCGCCGAUGCGCGCCCGGGAUGGAGCCUCCCAUGAGUCGGGUUGCUUGAGAGUGCAGCCCUAAGUGAGUGGGCUGCACCCUCAAGCCGAUAGUUCACAAGUACCAUGAGGGAAAGUUGAAAAGAACUUUGAAGAGAGAGUUCAAGAGUAUGUUCGCCACUACACUGGUUCUGCACAAUAAACGAUCACAUUAUAAGUGGUCUCAGCUGUAAAUGUUUUCUCACCCAAAAUAAAUGUUUCGGUGCCGUCUUAUACCUUUUUGCUUAAGCGUUUAUUUUUCGAAUUUUCGUGCUGAACCUGCAUAUAACGAAAUACUCUUUAUAACGAAGUUUUCCGGGAAUUUGUCGAUUUCGUUAUAUCCAGGUUUAACUGUAUCACAGACAAAGACAAACUGAAGCACUUUCAGAGCUACUUGUCGGGUAAAGCAG
rnacentral:rRNA from 1 species